AUUGAACGCUGGCGGCAGGCCUAACACAUGCAAGUCGAGCGGAGCGGCGGACGGGUGAGUAAUGCCUAGGAAUCUGCCUGGUAGUGGGGGAUAACGUCCGGAAACGGGCGCUAAUACCGCAUACUAUCAGAUGAGCCUAGGUCGGAUUAGCUAGUUGGUGGGGUAAAGGCCUACCAAGGAGACGAUCCGUAACUGGUCUGAGAGGAGGAUCAGUCACACGAGAGCUGAGACACGGUCCAGACUCCUAAGAGAGGCAGCAGUGAGGAAUAGUGGGCAAUGGGCGAAAGCCUUCUCCAGCCAUGCCGCGUGUGUGAAGAAGGUCUUCGGAUUGUAAAGCACUUUAAGUUGUGAGGCGUUACCAACAGAAUAAGCCCCGGCUAACUUCGUGCCAGCAGCCGCGGUAAUUC
rnacentral:rRNA from 1 species